rnacentral:rRNA from 1 species
CACGUAGGGUGCGAGCGUUGUCCGGAAUUAUUGGGCGUAAAGCGCGCGCAGGCGGCUUCUUAAGUCUGAUGUGAAAGCCCACGGCUCAACCGUGGAGGGUCAUUGGAAACUGGGAAGCUUGAGUGCAGAAGAGGAGAGUGGAAUUCCACGUGUAGCGGUGAAAUGCGUAGAUAUGUGGAGGAACACCAGUGGCGGAAAGCGGCUCUCUGGUCUGUAACUGACGCUGAGGCGCGAAAGCGUGGGGAGCAAAC